GCUCUCUCUAAAAUCAAUUCAUCUCUGCUUGUUCUUCAAUCGAAGCCAUUAUCCGUUUCUUUCGCCAUUGUCUCGGCUUCGUUCUGUGUUGUACUGUGAAAAAAAUAGAGCUAUCAAAGAUGUUCUACUUUCACCAGCUUCUAGCUCGCAGAGCACCUCUCGGCCAGAUCUGCAAACCUUCUAUUUGCUCUUCUCUUCAAUUCCUACUGGUGAAAUUGUUAUCGCUUAUGAACGGAAAGUGAAACUCCUCUAUGAUGAUGCAAUCCAUUAGCUGGGUAAUUGCACGAAUUUCUACAUCAAGAAGAAGACGAAACCAUUCCUCGGUUUUCUUUUUGGCUUUUUGUUUUUAAAUUCACAAUUUCCUUCGCACAGCUAAUUUUAAAUUAUAUGGUGUCCGCUGACUCCACAUCCUACUGUUCCUCCUAAAGAGGUCACCGUCUUUCUUCUCUUCUCCUCUCCUCUCCUUGAAUCAGCGUAUUUUAGCACACUGAUUCACUAAACCAGCCAGCUAUGUCGUAAUCAUUUGAGAGAAAUUGUUUAUUUCUACACGAUUUAAGACCAGAAGGUGUUAAGGACCGAUGCAGGCCUUAGCGUUCUGUCUCCAAAGAAUGGAGAGAGCAUUGUAUGCACCGCAAGCAAGGGUGGCAAUGUGAAAUGACACGUGUUUGACCGUUUCGUUUUUUAUUAAUUGGUGUGAUUUGUUCGCAUGAAGGAGUCUGCAACUUGCCCGAUAACCAAGGGACAGAUACAAACGCCAUAAUUAGUUUCCAAAGAGCAGCCCAUUUUGCAAUUGUUAAAUUAAUAUAAACAUAAAUUUCGCUUUCUACAUGUUAUUCUAAACUAUUAUGUUAAACAAAAAAAUCCUUCGCAGAAAACAAGUAUUAUCUAGGGAAUUUAUCCGUUUGCAACUUUUCCCUUAAGCUAACCAGUGUUGUUCUCUCAGCUAAUGCCAAGAACAUCAAAUUGUUUGAACGUGUUGAUUUGUGUCAUUAUCUAUGAUAGCUUUGAGGAGACAACCAAACUUCACUUCUGGAGAUCAUAUGAAGAUCCAACCUACUCUCGUACCCUCCUAACUCCGACAGAAUGAAGCUCCCAGAUGUCAGUAACAUGAUAUCUGUUGAAAUUGAAGGCUAUCUAGAAAAAUAAGUCGAUCAACCAUCUGAUGAAUGCAAGGCAAGCAGACAGGAUCUAUGGGGUCAAGGGCUCAAUAAAUGGCAAAAAAAAAGACAUGUGACUCGAACAAUGAAUCAUGAAGAAACCAUGAUUCCAGGUCAAAUAUACCAGUCAUGGCUUCAAAAUGCUUCUGAUAUUGCCUCUGGAAGAGGAAGAAAAUGAAAGGUUUGUGCUUGCUCUCCAACAUGGUUCACUUUUCUAACCUGUGCAAUGAAUCUUUUGAUUAUCAUAUAUGUCAGGAGACAACUGGAUAGGCUAAGAAUAUACUAACAUGCCUACCAUUGUUUAAAAUUUCAAUUGUUGGAUGUAUCUACCCUUGCAAAACAAACAUUAAAGUGAAAAGAAAAGCAGCCUUGGACAACAUACUGCAUAUUUUGCAGGAAUGCAGGGAUAUCAUGUCUUAUUGAAGUAGUUAACCUGAUGGAUCUGCCACCUCUGUUCCUUAUUGAUGAUUUAUGUGCAUAUGAAUAUAGAGAAAUCUAUUAUCCAGCACCUCUUCUGGAGCUUUGGAUGAGAAGUGCCCAACCUCCCAUAAGUUUAUUAUUCUACGAAAGACAAUUGAAUAAAUUCAUAUUUUCGGUCUGCACUAAAAGGACCUCCAUUGCUCUGCAUUCAGAACCAUCAAGAGCCAACUGGAUAUAGAAACAGUGGGCAACCAUUGUUAGUGAUGAGAUACCAUUGGAAAUCCUCGUGGGAGAGCUAAGACACAACCUUAUGGAAAGUUGGUUGGAAGGUAAAUGAGACCAAUUUGUUGACACCUGGAAAUUCUGGAGAUGAAGUAGGAUCCAUUCUAAUCUCAGGAUAAGAACAUGGGAUGCCAUCACACCAUUCAGAAGUCCAUUCAGGAAGGUCAAACAAGAAAAAGGUCCUACUCCUGAUUUAGACACAGCGGCAAUAUUCUUGAACCAUCAUAAGAAGAGGAUUCAUGGAAGUUUUGAUGCGGAACCCUAUUGGAUCCAUAUCAAGUUUCCUGAUCCAUAUAGGUGGAAUUUAGAUCUACACAAACCCAACAUCCGAUCAUCAGUUAGCUAAUAGACAAGGUAACUGGCAUCAUCGAAAUGUGUGGUUCUGUUGUUUUAUUUAAUGCUCUGAAUAACAAUACGCUUGGGAGGAGGUUUUGGAGGAAAGGUACGAGUUUUGUUUGAUCAACUGACACAUAUUACUUGCAUUUACAUGCCAACGGGGAGACGAAAGAACAAAUUGAGACACAAGGAACUCUUCUGUAAAAUCCUUGAACAAAAGUAGCAGCUGGAAAGAACCGAAAAGGAGCAGCUAUGCUCUUUUAUCAAAACUUGGGGUAUUCACACAUAAAAUCUUGCUUUUCACGAUUUCCUAAGAGUUGAACCGAAAGUGUAUUAAGGGGAAAUUCUCAUUUCUAAAAGAAGAAGAUUACCACGGUAGAAGGUCAGUACUUUGCAUACCCAUACUCUAUAACAAUGUUGCUUAAGACUAAGAAUUGACUAAUGAUACAAAUUUUCUUCCAUGGUGGAGCUUAUUAUUUUAGAAAAAGAUUCAGAAAUUAGACAACAGUGCUCCAUUAUCAAAGUAGUAAAAGAAACACAAAUUGUGAAAAUUCUUCUCUCUAGAUUUUAGGACAUAUCCUGUAAUAGCUUAUUCUUGUGCCAAUAUACUACGAGACUGUCUUGUGUUCAGAAUUUUACCCUUCUGAGUAGUUCUUAGCGUUAUAAAGCUGAUGUUGCAUUUCCUGUUUUCCCAUUAAAUAUUCUAGCUGUUAAUGCAUAAUCAGUAAUUUCUUUUCAUCAGUCCGUAAUCGCUACUUCCCCUCAUUACUGGAUAGAUACUUCUAGAGAGGUGCAGGGCACCGAGCUUGUAGAAAAGCUAUAAUGCGACUCCGCUUCAAAACUAGCUCGCAAGGAUAGGUUUACAAAUCCAUUCAUAUUGUUAGAUGGAUGUACAAACAACAAUUAUGUGAUUUUCCAUAAAAAUUGUAAUUAGAGAAUUAAGCGAGUGAUUUUCCAUAAGAAUUGUAAUUAGAGAAUUAAGCAAGUAAGAAAAAGAAAAGAAGAAAUAAUAAGAAAGAAAGGAAUAGGA